rnacentral:rRNA from 1 species
CCUACGGGAGGCAGCAGUGGGGAAUAUUGGGCAAUGGGCGCAAGCCUGACCCAGCAACGCCGCGUGAAGGAAGAAGGCUUUCGGGUUUUAAACUUCUUUUCUCAGGGACGAAGCAAGUGACGGUACCUGAGGAAUAAGCCACGGCUAACUACGUGCCAGCAGCCGCGGUAAUACGGAGGUGGCAAGCGUUAUCCGGAUUUACUGGGUGUACAGGGUGUGUAGGCGGGACUGCAAGUCAGAUGUGAAAACCAUGGGCUCAACCUAUGGCCUGCAUUUGAGACUGUAGUUCUUGAGUACUGGAGAGGCAGACGGAAUGCCUAGUGUAGCGGUGAAAUGCGUAGAUAUUAGGAAGAACACCAAUUGCGAAGGCAGUUUGCGGGACAGCAACUGACGCUGAGGCGCGAAAGCGUGGGGAGCAAACAGGAUUAGAUACCCGUGUAGUC